rnacentral:rRNA from 1 species
UACGGUAGGGUGCGAGCGUUGUCCGGAAUUAUUGGGCGUAAAGAGCUUGUAGGCGGUUUGUCGCGUCUGCUGUGAAAUCUCAAGGCUCAACCUUGAGCUUGCAGUGGGUACGGGCAGACUAGAGUGUGGUAGGGGAGACUGGAAUUCCUGGUGUAGCGGUGAAAUGCGCAGAUAUCAGGAGGAACACCGAUGGCGGAAGGCAGGUCUCUGGGCCACUACUGACGCUGAGAAGCGAAAGCAUGGGGAGCGAACAGG